AUUGAACGCUGGCGGCAGGCUUAACACAUGCAAGUCGAGCGGGGUGAUGGUGCUUGCACUAUCACUUAGCGGCGGACGGGUGAGUAAUGCUUAGGAAUCUGCCUAUUAGUGGGGGACAACAUCUCGAAAGGGAUGCUAAUACCGCAUACGUCCUACGGGAGAAAGCAGGGGAUCACUUGUGACCUUGCGCUAAUAGAUGAGCCUAAGUCGGAUUGGCUAGUUGGUGGGGUAAAGGCCUACCAAGGCGACGAUCUGUAGCGGGUCUGAGAGGAUGAGCGGCCACACAGGGACUGAGACACGGCCCAGACUCCUACGGGAGUAAGCAGUGGGGAAUAUUGGACAAUGGGGGGAACCCUGAUCCAGCCAUGCCGCGUGUGUGAAGAAGGCCUUAUGGUUGUAAAGCACUUUAAGCGAGGAGGAGGCUCUUUUGGUUAAUACCCAAGAUGAGUGGACGUUACGCGCAGAAUAAGCACCGGCUAACUCUGUGCCAGCAGCCGCCGUAA
rnacentral:rRNA from 1 species